CAGCAGCCGCGGGAAUACGUAGGGUGCAAGCGUUAAUCGGAAUUACUGGGCGUAAAGCGUGCGCAGGCGGUUAUAUAAGACAGAUGUGAAAUCCCCGGGCUCAACCUGGGAACUGCAUUUGUGUCUGUAUAGCUAGAGUACGGCAGAGGGGGAUGGAAUUCCGCGUGUAGCAGUGAAAUGCGUAGAUAUGCGGAGGAACACCGAUGGCGAAGGCAAUCCCCUGGGCCUGUACUGACGCUCAUGCACGAAAGCGUGGGGAGCAAACAGGAUUAGAUACCCCCGUAGUCCCUGUCUCUUAUAC
rnacentral:rRNA from 1 species